AGGGUUGUAGCUCAGUGGCAGAACAUCUGAUUUGAAGGCAGAAGGUCACAGGUUCGAUCCCUGGCAUCUCCA